UUAAAAAUAAGUUAAGUUAAACUACGGGUUUGUGGAGCCCGAUAUCCACUUGGUUUUUGAG
rnacentral:tRNA from 1 species